rnacentral:rRNA from 1 species
UUGACCUCGGAUCAGGUAGGGAUACCCGCUGAACUUAAGCNUAU